GAUGAACGCUGGCGGCGUGCCUAAUACAUGCAAGUCGAGCGAACGGACGAGAAGCUUGCUUCUCUGAUGUUAGCGGCGGACGGGUGAGUAACACGUGGAUAACCUACCUAUAAGACUGGGAUAACUUCGGGAAACCGGAGCUAAUACCGGAUGAUAUUUUGAACCGCAUGGUUCAAAAGUGAAGGACGGUCUUGCUGUCACUUAUAGAUGGAUCCGCGCUGCAUUAGCUAGUUGGUAAGGUAACGGCUUACCAAGGCAACGAUGCAUAGCCGACCUGAGAGGGUGAUCGGCCACACUGGAACUGAGACACGGUCCAGACUCCUACGGGAGGCAGCAGUAGGGAAUCUUCCGCAAUGGGCGAAAGCCUGACGGAGCAACGCCGCGUGAGUGAUGAAGGUCUUCGGAUCGUAAAACUCUGUUAUUAGGGAAGAACAUAUGUGUAAGUAACUGUGCACAUCUUGACGGUACCUAAUCAGAAAGCCACGGCUAACUACGUGCCAGCAACCGCGGUAAUACGUAGGUGGCAAGCGUUAUCCGGAAUUAUUGGGCGUAAAGCGCGCGUAGGCGGUUUUUUAAGUCUGAUGUGAAAGCCCACGGCUCAACCGUGGAGGGUCAUUGGAAACUGGAAAACUUGAGUGCAGAAGAGGAAAGUGGAAUUCCAUGUGUAGCGGUGAAAUGCGCAGAGAUAUGGAGGAACACCAGUGGCGAAGGCGACUUUCUGGUCUGUAACUGACGCUGAUGUGCGAAAGCGUGGGGAUCAAACAGGAUUAGAUACCCUGGUAGUCCACGCCGUAAACGAUGAGUGCUAAGUGUUAGGGGGUUUCCGCCCCUUAGUGCUGCAGCUAACGCAUUAAGCACUCCGCCUGGGGAGUACGACCGCAAGGUUGAAACUCAAAGGAAUUGACGGGGACCCGCACAAGCGGUGGAGCAUGUGGUUUAAUUCGAAGCAACGCGAAGAACCUUACCAAAUCUUGACAUCCUUUGACAACUCUAGAGAUAGAGCCUUCCCCUUCGGGGGACAAAGUGACAGGUGGUGCAUGGUUGUCGUCAGCUCGUGUCGUGAGAUGUUGGGUUAAGUCCCGCAACGAGCGCAACCCUUAAGCUUAGUUGCCAUCAUUAAGUUGGGCACUCUAAGUUGACUGCCGGUGACAAACCGGAGGAAGGUGGGGAUGACGUCAAAUCAUCAUGCCCCUUAUGAUUUGGGCUACACACGUGCUACAAUGGACAAUACAAAGGGCAGCGAAACCGUGAGGUCAAGCAAAUCCCAUAAAGUUGUUCUCAGUUCGGAUUGUAGUCUGCAACUCGACUACAUGAAGCUGGAAUCGCUAGUAAUCGUAGAUCAGCAUGCUACGGUGAAUACGUUCCCGGGUCU
rnacentral:rRNA from 1 species